AUUGAACGCUGGCGGCAGGCCUAACACAUGCCAGUCGAGCGGAUGAAGGGAGCUUGCUCCUGGAUUCAGCGGCGGACGGGUGAGUAAUGCCUAGGAAUCUGCCUGGUAGUGGGGGAUAACGUCCGGAAACGGGCGCUAAUACCGCAUACGUCCUGAGGGAGAAAGUGGGGGAUCUUCGGACCUCACGCUAUCAGAUGAGCCUAGGUCGGAUUAGCUAGUUGGUGGGGUAAAGGCCUACCAAGGCGACGAUCCGUAACUGGUCUGAGAGGAUGAUCAGUCACACUGGAACUGAGACACGGUCCAGACUCCUACGGGAGGCAGCAGUGGGGAAUAUUGGACAAUGGGCGAAAGCCUGAUCCAGCCAUGCCGCGUGUGUGAAGAAGGUCUUCGGAUUGUAAAGCACUUUAAGUUGGGAGGAAGGGCCGUAAGUUAAUACCUUGCUGUUUUGACGUUACCAACAGAAUAAGCACCGGCUAACUUCGUG
rnacentral:rRNA from 1 species